UGUGUCCUAGGGACAAGGGGUCCCUAGCCGAGGGGUCCCCCGAGCCCCACUUGGAAGGGCGGGGCAAAGGUUGCGAGCGGCUCAUCAAGCCACGCUCGACUCUGAGACUCGCCGCCAAUGAUGCGGCUGCCCAGGGUGGCCUGCUCCGGGUGCAGAGGGUGAUGAGCCGCCCCUGCCUCAGUUUCCCCCGGGCUUGUCGAAAACAGCGCGCCACCAUUGGAGCCGAGGAGAAAAGAGGGGUGUCCACUUUGGAGCCCAGACUUUCCGAGUGUGGCCCGCGGCUGGGGGUAGUUGUGGGAGAGGGGCACGCUCGCGCUCCUGCGUUUACUAAGGGCCGGGCACUUUAAUGGGGGUGGUGCCCCCCCUCCCCCGCUUUGCAAGUUAGGAAAUUGAGGCUCUGGCAGGUUAAACCAAGUGGUCCUGCGCGCCGUGAAAGAAGUCGAGAUUUGGAUGCAAGCCGAGUUCAGAGGCCGCUCUUUUCUCGUGCACAGUAGGACUCUGAAGAAAGAGCAGCCCCCCCCCUCGUUCCGGGUUAGAUUGUACCCCCAAACUUAGCCUGCUCUUCCUCCCUUCCUUCUUUGCUCUGACAGACCCGGAGCGCCGACAUGUCGCCACCCGCUCUUUAAGGCUACAAACAUUCUAGUCAUCGGUGAGGUGUGGCGGCCUCAGAAGGAUCUGCAGGAGCUAUUGUAGACCUAGUUCUCAGGCUGCUGAGGAGAACAGUGCUCCCCUCAGGCGGGAAGGCCCAACACGAAAGAAGGUAGAGGAUACUACUAUGCUUUGGACCUAAAGCUUCAGUCAGAGGUGGAAUCAAACGGAAGGUAAUUCAGUCAGAGGCACCACCGCUCCUGAAGAGAUGAGUGUUUUCCUUCUGGAACUGAAUUAUUGCUGUCCUGGGACUGGUGAAGGGCUGGGUUAUUUACCUUGGGAGAAGGUGGUUCUACCAGCCUGGCGUCCUUGGCUUCCUCUCACCGUGUAACUCUUAUUGCAGACCAGGGAGGUCUGCUAAAGGAUGCUGUCCUCUGUGUGGAGAUGUACCCAAAUACCUUCAGCAAAGACCAAGCAGAUGGGACUACCCAGUCAUAGACUUUAAUGCUCCAAAACUACCCGGGGUGACCUGAAUGUGGAUAGUCUUCCCUGAGUGCCGUGGGCUGCAGAACCCCAAGAGACAAGAUAUGGUGACUUGAUUCUGUUGGGGGUGGGGCUUCCCACCACCUGAGAGAGAGAAUGUAGACCAGGUUUGAUUUUUGUUUUGUUUUGUUUUGAGACAGCGUUUCACUGUGUUAUAGCUUUGGCUGUCCUGAAACUCGCUCUGUAGCCCAGGCUGGCCUCCAACUCCCAAAGACCCUCCUACCUCUGCCUCCUUAGUGCUGGGAUUAGAGUGGUGCACCACCACACGUAGCAUUAUUAUUAAAUUUGAAUUAUUUAGUGUAUAAAGAUCAUCCUCAGGUACACAAGACCCCGUCUCAAAAGUCAGGGGAAAAAAAAUGGUGUGUGGUGGGACACUGAUGAGGUUGCUCAGCAGCUAAUGUGCGUGUCACGUAAGACUGUCAGCCUGUGUUUAAGCUCUGGAAACCACAUGGCCGAAAAGAGAAAUGACCCACAGAAUUGCCCUCUGACUGCCAUCCGUGUGCUCUGGAGUAUGCCCAAGGCCCCAUCCUAUGCACACAGUGACGAGGGGGAGGAGGGGCUGAGUCUGGGGGCACCUGCUAGCCUCUCCACUUGUCAGCAUGUCGGUUUCAUUUGCAGGGCAUGAAAGGGGGUGCUCCUCCAGAUGAUGGCACCAUGGACUCUGCUGUCACUCACCCCCUAGGCCAAGCUGACGGACAGUGACUAUGGUUUAUGGUGUGUGUGGGGGGGGGCAGGGACUACCUCAUAUAAGUCCCAGCAGCCCCUCUGCUGACCCGGGAUACCCUGAAGCAAGCCUACCAGGCUUCUGUCUUCUCUUCUAGGAUGGAAGAUAUAAUUCUUGCCCUUGCUGAAGGAGGACAACCUCAUCAGUGUCCCACCACACCCCGACCAGGGUUGGGGUGGGGGGCAGAUGAGAAAGGGCAUUGGAAACCCCCAGCCCUCUCCCAGGGAACCACUCCCCUUACCUGGCCAGGAGGCACUGGUCCCAUCCCCCACCAGGAAAGACUCGGAAAAACCAGAAAAUGAGAGCGCCAAGAUGAACCAUCACAUUGUGUUAAUAUUUUCACACCACUUAACUCUCAUUAAAAUGUACUUUGCUGAAUUUAAUAUGUGAUUUCAAAUGACACAACAUAUUAAGUGCUUAAUAUACUAGAAAUUAUGAAACUAUUAUAGUCGAUGCCAUAUGAAAUAAUUAGAGUGAAUUAAACUUUAGCAGCCGAGUGAAGGCAGGGCUUCAACUUAUAAUGUCUGCAAGUCGCUCAAGCCACAGCUGUAAUCCCGCAAAUAAAUGUCCAGAAAUGAGGCUCUUUAAAU